GAUUUAUAAGCCUGUCAAUGGUGAAAACACUGUCGUCCGAACGAAGGUACCAGCUUUCUUUCUUUUAGCAUCUUUGUAUACCCGGCAACGUUAUGUAGAGAACACAUUAAUGUUACAAUAUUCAGAAGUCUGUGUCCAGGUUAUGCACUCUCAGCGACUGAAUGAACAGCCUUUAAAGCCAUGGGUGAUCGUCAGCAGCAGUGGAAAGGUGGAGUGUGCACACUGCACCUGUAUGGCAGGAGUAGCAGAGACAUGUACCCAUGUAGGUGCUCUGUUAUUUAAAGUGGAGGCUACUGUUCGGAUUAGUGGAAAAAAAAACAGUCACAGAUGUGCCAGCAUACUGGGUUUUGCUGCGCAGUUUGAGCAAGAUUAAAGCUGGAGUGGGAUACAGGAUUGAAUACACCUCAUCAGCCAGGCAAAAAAAAAGUGCUUGACCAGCGCAUAACUGCACCCUCCACUGUGCCAGGCAUAAGGAGUCGUGCCCAAAAAAGGAAAAUUCCCCUAGCUAAUCUUGAAGAGUUAUCACCACUUCUUGACACACUGCUGCAGCAUAGCAAGGCUGUUGGUUUGUCAGGGAUGGAGAACUAUUACACACUGAAAGCAGACACAGUGCAGCCUUCUGCAGUACCCAAGUCCCUUGCAACAUCUCUGUGUGAUAAAAGCAUAGAUUCACAUGACCUUUCAGCUAUCCAACUGCACUGUGAGAAAUACAGGCAUGCUGCAAAUGUGAAUGAUGAGCAGGCAGCAGCUAUUGAGAUGUGCACAAGACAACAGCAUAAUUCUUCUGCUUGGUAUGCAGGUCGGACUGGAAGAAUUACUGCCUCAAACAUGCAUGCAGUAUUUGCCACCAGUAUGGAAAAGCCAGCCCUGACAGUUGUGAAAAAGUGUGCAACCCACAACAUCCAGUGUCCACCAUAUAAACUAGAUGGGGUAUAGAGCAUGAGAUUGAUGCUCAAAAGACCUACCUUCACACCAGAGCCCCGCAUCACACAAACCUAAAAGUGGAACAGUGUGGUUUUAUAAUAAACCCCAGCUUCCCAGAAGUUGGAGCCUCUCCUGAUGGACUUACAAUGUGUGAUUGCUGUGGGAAAGGCUGCCUUGAAAUUAAGUGUCCCUUCAAAUAUAGAUCAUGCAGCUUCCAACAGGCCUUAGAAACAAAGGACAAAGACUUCAGUCUCGAGUUGUCCUAUGUGUGCUAAAGAAAAUUUUAGUGCCUCCUACUGCUGCAAUAUAAUGUAUGAUAUUUUAUGGCAAUCUUGCACAAUGUGUAAAUGCAGUAAUCUAUUCAAGUGUUAAUUAUAAGUGGGAACUUUCCAGAAGUAAAUGGUUACUGGUUAUGCAAUGGCUAGUAGUGACUAUCAAGACAUUGUAAAAGUGGGAAUUUUCUGGAAAGAAGAUGAAAAUUCUUUAUUGGUGGACACUUCCUGAUACUGCAAUAUUGUAUGAUGUAUGUGUUGAGAAAUCAAGCAUUUAAGUAGAACUCGUUAACUAGAGCUGAUAACUGAGGGUGUAGUGCACAUACGCAUCCUGGAAAAUUAUUUUAUACAUUUGAUUCACUUUGCACUGCAGUGAAAAGAAUAAAUGUUUUGUCAAUGUGUUUUUCCCCCUAUAUUUACACAGUCAUUUACACAGUGCAAGUAGCAAUGUCAAAUGUAUAUCAAAUCAAUCACUGAAACAUCAGCUCCACCUUAAGAAAUAGCAUGUAAAAUUUGUAUGUGUACAUGGGAUAGUGAUAAUUAAUGAGAUAUAGUAGUAAUUUGUAUGACUAUAGUACCAAUUUGUCUUGUAAUAAACAAAGAAAUAUAUAUCCUGUGAAAAUAAAUGUAUAAAUAAAUAAUCAUAAAAAUA